UUUAUUUCUUAUUUAGUUACUGUUUUCGUACAAAGGUUCGUGUUGGCCGAAAAUGCCGGGUCCUCCCUAUACCCCAGAUGAGGAUAAAAUUAUUAUACGAUAUCUGCUCGACAGCCAGUCCAUUCCGCGGUCCAUGGGCAAUAUAGUCUGGAUAGAACUAGAAGAGCUAAACUUGCUUCCAGGACGAUCAUGGCAAAGCAUGAAGAACCGCUGGCGUCGCGGCAUCACUGACAAUUUAUCAAGGCCGGAGUAUUCUCUGAAUAAAGAGGAAAUACGUGUUAUUUCUGAGCAGACGAAUAAAAAAAAACCCUACUGCAGGAACAAAAAAAAAUGAAAAUAAUAGUGUUCCGUCAACAAGUCGUGUAGGACCGGAAAAGUAAUCCUACUCAUGUAUUACCUGCCUACAGAAGAACCACUCUCUACACAGGAUGGAUAAAUCUCUCAUUAUUGUAUAUGAGAGUGUGGUCAAAAGUAAGGUGUAAU